rnacentral:RNase_P_RNA from 1 species
CGUGCGGACCGGAUUGUCGCUCCGUCGGCCUACGUCGGCGGUGAGGAAAGUCCGAACACCAUAGGGCACCGUGCUUCCUAACGGGAAGACCCCGAUUGGCGCAUCCGACUGGAUGAGCUGCCGACUCGGGUAUGGCACGUGCAACAGAGAGAAGUCCCGCCGAUGACUGCGCCUUCGGGCGCGGCACAGGUAAGGGGUGAAAGGGUGCGGUAAGAGCGCACCGGCGCUCUCGGGUGACCGGGGCGGCCAGGCAAACCCCACGGGGUGCAAGACCCAGCAGCACCGCACGAUUCGAAAGGUCCUCCUUUCGGGUCGAUAUGGCGGCCCGUCGAACCGCGGUGCGGGUAGGUUGCUCGAGAUGUCCGGCGACGGGCGUCCCAGAUAGAUGAUGAUCUCCUUCACGCGGCACGCGGCGGCCCGCAGAAGAAGACAGAAUUCGGCUUACAGGUUCGCACGCGCC